rnacentral:snRNA from 1 species
GUGCUCAUUUCAGCAGCACAUAUACUAAAAUUGGAACGAUACAGAGAUUAGCAUGGCCCCUGCACAAGGAUGACAUGCAAAUUCAUGAAGUAUUCCAUAUUUUU